UACGUAGGGGGCUAGCGUUAUCCGGAUUUACUGGGCGUAAAGGGAGCGUAGGCGGAUAUCUAAGUGGGAUGUGAAAUACUCGGGCUCAACCUGAGUGCUGCAUUCCAAACUGGAUAUCUAGAGUGCAGGAGGGGAAAGUGGAAUUCCUAGUGUAGCGGUGAAAUGCGUAGAGAUUAGGAAGAACACCGGUGGCGAAGGCGACUUUCUGGACUGUAACUGACGCUGAGGCUCGAAAGCGUGGGGAGCAAACAGG
rnacentral:rRNA from 1 species